rnacentral:rRNA from 1 species
UACGUAGGGGGCAAGCGUUAUCCGGAUUUAUUGGGUUUAAAGGGUGCGCAGGCGGCACGGCAAGCCGGCGGUCAAAUCGCGGGGCUCAACCCCGCCCAGCCGUCGGAACUGCCGGGCUAGAGUGGGCGAGAAGUGCGCGGAAUGCGUGGUGUAGCGGUGAAAUGCAUAGAUAUCACGCAGAACUCCGAUUGCGAAGGCAGCGCACCGGCGCCCUACUGACGCUCAGGCACGAAAGCGUGGGGAGCAAAUAG